rnacentral:rRNA from 1 species
AGUGAACGCUGGCGGUAGGCCUAACACAUGCAAGUCGAACGGCAGCACAGUAAGAGCUUGCUCUUACGGGUGGCGAGUGGCGGACGGGUGAGGAAUACAUCGGAAUCUACUUUUUCGUGGGGGAUAACGUAGGGAAACUUACGCUAAUACCGCAUACGACCUACGGGUGAAAGCAGGGGAUCUUCGGACCUUGCGCGAUUGAAUGAGCCGAUGUCGGAUUAGCUAGUUGGCGGGGUAAAGGCCCACCAAGGCGACGAUCCGUAGCUGGUCUGAGAGGAUGAUCAGCCACACUGGAACUGAGACACGGUCCAGACUCCUACGGGAGGCAGCAGUGGGGAAUAUUGGACAGUGGGCGCAAGCCUGAUCCAGCCAUACCGCGUGGGUGAAGAAGGCCUUCGGGUUGUAAAGCCCUUUUGUUGGGAAAGAAAAGCAGCAGGUUAAUACCCCGCUGUGCUGACGGUACCCAAAGAAUAAGCACCGGCUAACUUCGUG